ACGGAAGGCAGCAGUGGGGAAUAUUGCACAAUGGGCGAAAGCCUGAUGUAGCGACGCCGCGUGAGUGAAGAAGUAUUUCGGUAUGUAAAGCUCUAUCAGCAGGAAAGAAAAUGACGGUACCUGACUAAGAAGCCCCGGCUAACUACGUGCCAGCGGCCGCGGUAAUACGUAGGGGGCAAGCGUUAUCCGGAUUUACUGGGUGUAAAGGGAGCGUAGACGGUUGUGCAAGUCUGAAGUGGAAUGCCGGGGCUCAACCCCGGAACUGCUUUGGAAACUGUAAAACUGGAGUGCAGGAGAGGUAAGUGGAAUUCCUAGUGUAGCGGUGAAAUGCGUAGAUAUUAGGAGGAACACCGGUGGCGAAGGCGGCUUACUGGACGGUAACUGACGUUGAGGCUCGAAAGCGUGGGGAGCAAACAGGAUUAGAUACCCUGGUA
rnacentral:rRNA from 1 species